GUGUAAGAAGAGGGAUAUAAAUAUUCAUUAAUGGUACAGAACAUCUAUGGGCUCAGAGUGCAAGCAAGUGGGUGGAGCUAAUGAGGAGAGGGGGGAGGAGAUCUUGCUCUGGGUCAGGCCACUCAGAGGCCCACUGGGCAUGUGUGGCGGACUCCAAAAUGGCCGUCACGGUGGAGGGAAGACAUGGAAAGCCCGAGGAACACCCGAAUGGGGCCAUGCACUCCUGUGUUAAAGUAGACGUUAUCUUGGAAGAGGCAUUCUGUUCUACGAGAGAGACAAGAAGAACACCACCUUCUUUGUUUUUAGGUGAUGAACGUGUGUGAAGAGUCAUCUGAAAAGAGCUUGUCUACUUUGUUAUUGCUGGUGGGAUGUUUCCUUCUUUAAAGAAGUGGUUUUGUGGCUGAAUCGUUGAUGGAAAGUUGCUCUGAGGGUCCUAUGAUGCGGAAGAUCAUUUUGCACCAACAUCCGGUACAAGGUCGGAGCGCCCAUGAGAGUGGUGACAGGAAAUCGAGAGAGAGUCUGGCAUAUGAGAAGAAGGGAAACAAAGGUUGCGCGUGAACUUCAGUUCUCCAUCUUGGAUUCCCUCAUUAACAAAGUGGUGCAUAAAGUGCUGAGCUUAACAAUGGGGAGAGGGCUGUCUGCUGAAACAUAUCCUGACAAACCCCAUGUCUCUGGCCCAUUUGUUUCCCAAGACGACAUCAGGAACCAUUCUUUACACAGGGCUGCACAACUUUGGCCCUCCAGCUGUUGUGAGACUACAACUCCCAUCAUCCCUGACUAUUGGCCACCCUGGCAGGGGAUAAGGGGAGUUGUAGUCCAACAGGGCUGAAGUUGUGCAGCCCUUGCACUGGAGCAUAUUUAACAGGAUCGGCAGCCCAUCUUUGUUUAAACAGGAGGGUUUAUUUUUUUGAGUGUUGGGCUACAUGUACUUAGGGGAUGCCAGCUCUCAUCACGUAGGGCUACAUCCGCUUUCAAAGCUUGUGCAUGAACCACACCGAUGGAACCAAACCGCUUCGCCCAUUGAGCACCACGUUCCCUGUCUUGGAUUCCCACACAAACAAAUUUGAUGCCUAAAUGUGCUGGACUUGAGGGGAACCAGUGUCUUCUGGAUCGUAUCCUGAAUCAAGGAAAAGUGUUUGGCUGCAGAAUCCCUUCCCCCCACUCCUAUCUCAAAUGUUGAGGACACACAGCAGUUCCUUCCUGGGAGUGCUCCCAGCUCUGGACCUUCUCCUGCCCAGCCUUUGAUGGUACAGACAGUCAAAAACCGUCUCCUUGGCAGUAAGAAAAGCCGUAGGGCAUGGCUAGGAAAGUGGGCAUUCCUGCUUCAGAAUCAACAUGAGAAGCAGCCCAUAGACAAAUCAAGGCUAUGAACAUAUUAUUUCUGCACACAUAGGUAGCAACUGAGCACGCACACCCUGUCCUAUCCUAGAUGCCCAUGGAGAGGUAACUACUAACUUAAAGAUCAUCAGCAGAACCACCCCUCUCUGCACAAAAAACAUACAAAGGAAACAGGAGGCAAUCUGUGCAAAAAGGGUAAUCUCAUCUUACAUUUAGGAUGGGUGUGCUUUCCACUUCCAGGAGUCUAUGUACAAAGACGCAAGACCCAAAAACCCACGGGUCACAGAUGGACCCCAAAGCAGCCACCACCCAGCCUGUAUCUGCUGUACACCACAUGAUGUCGAGAGGUGUUAAAUCCAGCCAGUAUCUGAUAAAACAGAGGAACGAAAAUUGUGAUAGGCAAUUCACUUAGACAACAAAUGACUAGGAAGCCAUGCUCUAUGGCGUGUGGAGUUUUAUUAUAUAUAAAUGUGGACCAAAAUGGUGCAGUAUAUUCCCUAGUGUGCAUGUGCAACCUAUGCCUGUGUCUGAGCAUGGUGAAUGUUUUAGGCACUUUCUCCCCUCAGAAGCAGAAGGGGUUGAAGGAAUAUUCAGCAAGCUGGGAAAUUUUCUACUCUUUUUGUUCAAGCCCUCCUUCUUCCCUCCUUGCCACUGAGUUCAGUUGGCUCCUCCCACCUAGUUGUCUGUUAACUGUCCUCCAAGUCUGCGGACAUUCUGCUCCGGUGGAUUACACUGGGGCAGUUUGGAAGUUUCCCCCCACUUCAGACCUCUGUGAAACCAGUUUAUCUGUGGUUUACCCCAAGUCCGCUGGUCCCUUCCCCUCGCUUGCAGGUGCUCUGGCUAUGCAUCCAUAAGGAUAACAACUUGUGUAGCUCUUUCAGAAAUGGAUAUGCCCCCAUUAUCCUCAUGACAACUGUAUGAGCCAAACUAACAUGAGAGGAUGUGACUGGCCCAAAGGGGACACAGUAGACCCCCCACUCUAAAUCCAACCCUCUAACCACUACACUGGUCCAACCCCAGCAGGGCCUGGUUGACUACCCUGCUUCCUGACAGUAGCAGCGGGGUAAGUCGGCCAUUGGAACAGCAAGCCCCAUCUCAGGAGAGAGAACAAGAGAAUUCUUUGUGCUCACCAGCCACACAGAACUGCCACCAGUACCUUUUAUUGACAAGGGGUCUGAGGCCUAGACUUCCUUGGGAAAGCUCAACCAUCUUGGGUGAGCCUGUGGUUCCACUGGUGAAGUAAACCAUCAUGGCAUCGAGAGCCUUUGUUUUCAUGCACAAAUGAUCAGCAGGUGCCUCUCUGUGAAGGGUAGAACAUUAGGACACUUGAAGGAGGCGGGCUUGGUUAGGGAUCACCCUAACCCAUUGGGAUCACCCAUUGGGAUCACCCAGGGAGGUCCGUCUGCAGUUGCCAUCAGCUCAUCAGCAAUGGACCUUCUCCGUUGCUGCCCCAAGGCUUUGGAAUGCACUCUCUGUCAAAAUAAGAGCCUCUCCAUCUUUGAUAACUUUUUAAAAGGCGGUCAGGACACAUUUGUUCACCCAGGCCUUUAAGUAGACUCAUAGCAUUAAACAUUGUUUUUAAAUUUUAAA